UGCAGUCGAGCGGAGAGAGGUAGCUUGCUACUGAUCUUAGCGGCGGACGGGUGAGUAAUGCUUAGGAAUCUGCCUAUUAGUGGGGGACAACAUUUCGAAAGGAAUGCUAAUACCGCAUACGUCCUACGGGAGAAAGCAGGGGAUCUUCGGACCUUGCGCUAAUAGAUGAGCCUAAGUCGGAUUAGCUAGUUGGUGGGGUAAAGGCCUACCAAGGCGACGAUCUGUAGCGGGUCUGAGAGGAUGAUCCGCCACACUGGGACUGAGACACGGCCCAGACUCCUACGGGAGGCAGCAGUGGGGAAUAUUGGACAAUGGGCGCAAGCCUGAUCCAGCCAUGCCGCGUGUGUGAAGAAGGCCUUAUGGUUGUAAAGCACUUUAAGCGAGGAGGAGGCUACUUUAGUUAAUACCUAGAGAUAGUGGACGUUACUCGCAGAAUAAGCACCGGCUAACUCUGUGCCAGCAGCCGCGGUAAUACAGAGGGUGCAAGCGUUAAUCGGAUUUACUGGGCGUAAAGCGCGCGUAGGCGGCUAAUUAAGUCAAAUGUGAAAUCCCCGAGCUUAACUUGGGAAUUGCAUUCGAUACUGGUUAGCUAGAGUGUGGGAGAGGAUGGUAGAAUU
rnacentral:rRNA from 2 species